UACGGAGGGGGCUAGCGUUGUUCGGAAUUACUGGGCGUAAAGCGCACGUAGGCGGCUUUGUAAGUUAGAGGUGAAAGCCCGGAGCUCAACUCCGGAACUGCCUUUAAGACUGCAUCGCUUGAACGUCGGAGAGGUAAGUGGAAUUCCGAGUGUAGAGGUGAAAUUCGUAGAUAUUCGCAAGAACACCAGUGGCGAAGGCGGCUCACUGGUCCGGUACUGACGCUGAGGUGCGAAAGCGUGGGGAGCAAACAGG
rnacentral:rRNA from 1 species